UUUUGAUACAACGGCUCAGAAAUGGUCAAUUAAUUCCCGUAAAACUGUCGGAACCCCUCCCUCCAGACCUUAUAAACUUGUUUUAUUUCAUUCCCUAUCUCCCUCUGAUGAAAACCCUAGCCACCCUUAUAAACCCUCGCCAGCUCCGCCUUUCUCCACCGCCCGAAAAUUGUAUUACCGCAGCGUAGUACCUCCAAACCGCCUAAAAUCAACAACAUGAAAUCCCUUCACCCUCCUAUUCCUAUAUAUCCCAACUGUUUCUUUCGAACAAGUCUUGAAAGUCUCGAAUUUUAGAUCUAAAAGCCAAACCGUAGUUUUUUCUCUUUUGAUUUCCGGUCAAUUUCUGGGUUGUUUGAGCCCAAGAAUUCCAUUAGUCGACUGUUCUUGUUGAGAAAAGUCGAUUAAUGAUCAUUCAAGUUCAUUUUAUCCCAUUGAAGCCUGUCCGAGGUCUUGACUGGUCCAAAUUCGAAUCGAGUUUUGGUAAUUCUCUUUUCAUUCUUUUUCCUUUCUUCUUUUGUUUAUCUCUUUCAUCUUCAUUCUUCUUUUAGCCGUAUGUUUUAGGUAGUAGCAACUUUAAGGUUUCUCUUUUUCAUGACUGCUCAGCUUGUUAUUUGCAUCUGUUUAUUAGGUUAAUUAAAGAAUGCUAGAAUUUCAAUAUUUGAAGUAUAAUUUCAAUUGCAUAAGGUUAGAAUAAUUAGGUGAAUUUUUUAGGGGUUUUGAUAAAAUUAAUUGUUCUGUUUUCUUUUAUAUUUUGUUUCUCUCCUAUAUUCGUUUGUUUGAUAUUCAAUAUUUAGUUUAAAUUGAUUAGAAUAGUUUUAGGAGUUUAAUUUGUUUGGCCAAUCUCUGACUAGUCAUUAGGAAACCUUAGCCUUAGUUAAUCUGUUUAAUUGCAAACUAAUUAGGUUAAUUUCUAGGGUUCCUUUGCAUCUUCAUUCUAGUUCUUGUUAUUUGCUAAUUGGAUGUGUUAGUUGUUUAACUCAUCGUGUUUAAGGUAAAUUAGGUGGACCUCUUAAUUAAGAGUAAUUUAUUUGAAUUAAACCUUUAAUGCCCUUAAGCUUAAGAUUUAAUUUAAGAAUUAAAAAGACAUUGAAACAAGCCUAGGAACCCUAAUGCUGGAAUCCUCUAUAUUGUUUAGAAGGUUCCACAAAAUGGAAUUGUAUUCAGAAUUCAGGUCAAGACUGGUUAGGACAGAAAUAACUAAUAAAUGAAAGGGUAAAAACGAUUUUAUAUAAGGUCAUAAGAUUCUAGCAUUUUGUACAGAUGCUUCAUUAUUAGCAAAAAAAUACUGAAAUUGGAUGGACAAAAGAACAUACAGUUGUCAAAAGAUGUUGUACUAUUUGACCCUUAGAGAAUUUAAGGUACAAUAUGAUUUUUUGGUGCUAUUUUAGGGAUACUCUAUAAAAGAAAAAGGACUCCUUCAUACUGGACAGAUUUUCAGACCCUAAAAAACACUUAAAAAGGUUCAGCUCUACGGUUCCAUUGGAGUUGAUCAACUUAAGAAACGUUCGAGCUUAUUUCUGGGAUUUCUUGUUCUCUAAGUUAAAAUAUGGUUUAAGCUUUGGAGCUGAGUGGCUUGCUGUUGUAUGCUGGUGAUUACUAUUGAAGCUUUCUUGCUAAUUUCUUUUACUUCUCAGAGAUUUUUUCACUUUGUUCUUUGCUGCAUCCAAGUAUCUUCAUGAGCCCUGAAAUGACAAAAAUAAAGUUGUAACAUGUUGGCCUUGAAUAGAAGUUCGGAUCUUCUUAUGUGCUUGAUAUCAUUUGAAGCCCAAUCUAUUGGAGCUGGGGAGGAUAAUUUUGAGAUUGCUACAGCACUAAAUUAUGUUAAACUGGGACAAGUAGAACAUAGAGAAAUACCAAUUAAAUACACCAUGUUUCUUCGAGUUGAAACUAAUGACGAGUUAGCCCAAGUUUUCCGUAGUCUGUUUAAUUGGUUUAUUUGUACUUGGCAUAUUUUGAAGAUUUGAAUGACGAAGGCAUUUUGUUCUGCUAUCUAAACACUUUAUCCGCUGCUAAACCUUUUGAGCUUUAAUUAUUUUCUUUCAUACCCCUCUUUCAAAAUCAGUAACAAAAGUCAAAAAUGCAAGUGUGAGAAGGCAGUGAAAGGAAAGGAAAGAAAAUAAUGAAUAAGAAUGAAAAUGAAAAGAAAAGAGAAAAGAGAAAAGGAAAAAAUAAAGAAAUAAAAAGAAAACAAAACAAAGUAAAAAAAGAAACGAAAAAAAGAAAGAAAAAAAGGAAAAUAGACAAAAACAAGGAAUCAGUAUGAAUUACGUUAGACUUGAUUCCUUUUAAGGAUACGUAGAGAGCCUCACAAUUCGGUCUCAUCAAAAUAAAAAUCCAAAAGUUCCCAAGCAGGAAACUAGGCAAGAAGUUGUGGUUGUUGUAAUAAUCUGAUUCCAAAAGUUGUAGUUUUGAACUCAUUUGAAUUGCUUUGAGCCUUUGAUACCCUUUCCUUCUAACCCUAUCCAAAGCCCACGUUACGAUCCAAAAGAUAGACCUUCUGACCAGUCUUCAAGAGAUGCCAAGUUGAGCAAGUAGAGGUGAUUCAUGACAGGGGCAAUACUCUGGUCCAAGCAGGAAAGAUAAUAAAAAUGAGAGAGUCUUAUUGGUGAAAACAGUCAUGAGCACCGUAAGGCAACGGGAGCUGAGAGAAAUAAAAAAUGAGAGACUCUUAUUGGUGAAAACCUUCACGAGCACCAUGAGGCGAUGGUGAGUUGAAAAAAAAAGAAGGAGGCUCGAUUGUGAAAGCCCUUCAGGCACCACAAGUCGAAUAAGGAUCGUAAAUCAGAUUGGAGAAUCGGAACAUUGAAGCAGAGUUUCAUGGCGAAGAGGUGCAAUACGAGUUGAACAUCAGACCCGCUUGAAAGAAUAGGCCACAGGUGCAUGUCAUGGUCAUUAGAGUUGGUACCCGCAUUUUAUAGGUUUCUACUUUUUAGUUUGUUUGUUAGGAAUCAUCUGCUUUCAUUGUCCUCUACUAUGCUCCUUUUGUCUUGAUAACUUCCUCUUCAUAAGUCUGUUCGGCCAAAACAAGUGAGAAAUGACUUCAAAAUCUGCCACCAGCUUUCCAAUUGCAAAAAACGGGAUCUGUUUGUCACAUCAAAGUAUCAUAAGUCAGGAAAGAACAGCAAACACAUUGAGUUGGUAACAAAUAAUAUGCUUUAGGAUUCGUCUGAAAUACAAAGGCUUGGUAUAUAUCAAUUUAUGAACAAUGCAUCAGAAUGAGGGCUAGGGUGAAUGGAUCAAAGGUGUUUUGUAUGACAAAAAGAGGGGUAAAUCAGUGACAAGCAAGAUCCUCCAAGAAGGAAUCAAAGAUAUCAUGGCUAGCAAUGGAGCAAUAGACCUCAAGGUCAAAGCCGAUGGUUUGAGUCAAGAAAGAACAUCAUACACACUGAGGUUGGUAGCAAUUAAUAUGCUUUGCGGAUCAUGUGAAACACAAAGAUUUGGUAGAUGUCGGUUCAGGAGCGAUGCAAUAGAUAGAAGGUAUUGGGUUCAAACGAGAAGAGGUAUUUUUUGGGUUAAGGUUUGCAAAGGAAGUGGUUAGUCAAGGAACAAGUAGGGUCUUCGAAUGAAAAUCAAUUAUCAUGACAAGAAAGAGCAACAAAGGUCAAAUCCAGUGGUUUAAGUCAAUAAAGAACAGCAUACACACGAAGUGGGGGCGUGCUUUAAGAUUCAUGUGAGACACAAUGGUUGGGUAGGUGCCAGUUCAUAAGCAAUGCAAUAAAUAGAGGUAUUGGGUUUGAAUAGAGAAGAGGUAUUUUCUGUGAUAAGGGUGACAGAGAAAUUGGUUAGUCAAUAAGCAAGCAACAUCUUUCAAGGUGAAAUCAAAGUUACCAUGGCAAGUGAAGGAGCAUAGCACAAAUAUGGGGAGGCAGAGUAAAACCAUAAGGGCUCAGGUGUCAGCCGAACAUAGCACACUGACCGGGUAAUCUCAGAAAAGAUGUAAGGAUUCCAGUGAAAGUGUAAGAAGUGCAACACAAAGAUGGGAAAGGCCACAAAGGUUAGCCAAAUAUAGUAAACUGAUUCGAGAGGCAAGAAUUCUAGCAAGAGGGUCAGAAGUGCAACACAAAGAUAGGGGAGCAGAGUAAAGCCACAAGGUUCAGGGGUUAGCCAAGCAUCAUAAACUGACUCGGUAAUCUCAGGAAAGGAUGUAAGAAUUCUAGCAAGAGGGCCAGGAGUGUAACACAAUAACGGGGGAGUAAAGUAAAGCCAUAAAGAUUUGGGGGUCAGCCAACCAACUCAGGCAACUCAUCAUCAACAUGGAAAAUUGAACACAACAGAACACGACAAUGGGGAAGCCGCUUCAAAAAAUAACACCGCAAGCUAACCACCACUUUUCAAACUGACAAGUUUUCUUUGAUUGACACAGGGGCAGAAAAAUUCCGGAAGAUCCUAAGAGAGGCCAUCCACAGGGGAAGGCAAGCACAUGGCAGGUAUGAUCAAAAUCUCAGGGCACUCCUGGAAAGUGGGACCCAGUUAAAUCUCAAAAAGGAACAUAAUCCAACACAAAUAUUCUCCCCAGCAAGAGUAUAAUGAAACGAAACUUUAAUUGACAGUGGGGAGGCCGCUUCCAACAAGAAUGCCGCAAGCUAACCACCACUUUUCAAACUGACAAGUCUUCUUUGAUUGACACAGGGGUAGAAAAUUUUUGGAAGAUCUUAAGGUAGGCCAUCCACAGCGAAAGGCAGGAGCAUGGCAGGUAUGAUCAAAAUCUUAGGGCCCACCUGGAAAGCGGGUCCUAGUUAAAACUGAAAAAAGAACAUAAUCCGUCACAAAUAUUCUCUCCAGCAAGAGUAUAAUGGAACAAAACUUUAAUUAGCAACCCCCAGCGGAGACAAUCGAGAGUUAAAAGGAGCAUGCAAGCUGAAAUUCUCAAGAUUCUCUUGGAAAUGGGACUCAAUUUAAAACUCAAACAGUUGUGGGUAACAUAGGCAAGCACAAACACCUUCCCCAGUAAGAGUCGUCGGAACUCGCCUGAACAAUGAUCCCCAGUAGAAACAACAUGAAGUUAGAAUUGGCAUUUAAUCUGAAACCCUCAGGACACUCCUAGGAAAUGGGAUUUAUUUAAAGGUUAAAGGUAAUCUUGGAUAGAGAAGGUCAUAAAAUGACUUGCAUGUUGAAAUAGGAUUAAGUUAAGAGUUGUUAGAACCCUCCUGAAAAAUGGGACUUAGCCUGAAACAUAAACAAGCACAGGUAACAUGGGUAGGCACAAAUAAUUCCCAAACAAGAGUCGUCAGGACCCGCUUGAAUAAUGGGAUGUAGCUCUAGAUACUAAUCCCCAGCAGAUACAUUUGGCCAUCUAAUUAAGAGUUGUCGAGACCUUUACAAAUAAUGGGAAGUAGCUUCAAUCACCGGUCCCCCAGUAGAUCCCCAGCAGAUAUAACUUGGAUAACAAGACAUACUGAAAAAUAAUACUUUUCGAGAACACAAUCUAAUUUUUAAGUUGUCAUGGGAUUUGAUAAACACUCACAGAUGCAUCCAAAACCAAACUGGGGAAGAAAGAAUUUCUCUUAUUUAGUUUGUUUUGUUGUGAUCAGGUACACAAGCAGUAGUCCCAAGGGAAUAUUUUUAUAGUUGCAAGUUUGGUAAUCAGGCGCCCACCUGGAGAACAAGGGAAUAUUUUUUCAAAUUUCAAGUCUUGGUAAUCAAGCGCUCACCUGUAGAACAAGGGAAUAUUUUUCAAAUUUCAAGUCUUGGUAAUCAAGCGCUCACCUGUAAAACAAGGGAAUAUUUUUCAAAUUUCAAGUUUUGGUAAUCAGGCGCUCACCUGGAGAACAAGGGAAUACUUUUCAAAUUUCAAGUUUUAGUAAUCAGGCGCCCAUCUUUAGUGCAAGGUAAUAUUUUUCAAGUUUCAAGUCUUGGUAAUCAGGCGCCCACCUGUAGAACAAGGGAAUAUUUUUCAAGUUGCAAGUNNNN
rnacentral:lncRNA from 1 species